rnacentral:rRNA from 1 species
UACGUAGGGUGCGAGCGUUGUCCGGAAUUAUUGGGCGUAAAGAGCUUGUAGGCGGUUUGUCGCGUCUGCUGUGAAAUUCCGGGGCUCAACUCCGGACUUGCAGUGGGUACGGGCAGGCUAGAGUGUGGUAGGGGAGACUGGAAUUCCUGGUGUAGCGGUGAAAUGCGCAGAUAUCAGGAGGAACACCGAUGGCGAAGGCAGGUCUCUGGGCCAUUACUGACGCUGAGGCACGAAGGCCAGGGGAGCAAACGGG